rnacentral:rRNA from 1 species
AAACAACCAGGAUGUUGGCUUAGAAGCAGCCACUCAUUAAAAGAGUGCGUAAUAGCUCACUGGUCGAGUGACUCUGCGCCGAAAAUUUAACGGGGCUAAACUAUACACCGAAGCUUGGGAUACAUCUAAUGUAUGGUAGGAGAGCGUUCUGUAUGGGGAGAAGUCGUAGCGAAAGCGGCGGUGGACUAUACAGAAGUGAGAAUGCCGGAAUAAGUAGCGAGAAUUAAGUGAGAAUCUUAAUGGCCGAAAGUCUAAGGUUUUUGGAGGAAGGUUCGUCCGCUCCAAGUAAGUCGGGAGCUAAGGUCAGGCCGAAAGGCGUAGCCGAUGCACAUACGGUUGAUAUUCCGUAACCAUCUGUAAUUUAAGCAAAGGGACACUUCAAAAGGGUGUGACCCGGGCGUUGGUUGACCCGGGCGUAAGGGACCGAAAUUAGAGUAGGGAAGCACACUUAGCUGAAGGCGAGAAAAGCUUUGCGUAUAGAAACAGAUGCCCGUACCGCAAACCGACACAGGUGGACAGGAAGAGAAUUCUAAGGCCAGCGGGAGAAGGGUAGUUAAGGAACUCGGCAAAUUGACUCCGUAACUUCGGAAUAAGGAGUGCUCGAAAGAGCCGCAGAGAAUAGGCCCAGGCGACUGUUUAGCAAAAACACAGGUCUCUGCCAAAUCGAAAGAUGAAGUAUAGGGGCUGACACCUGCCCGGUGCCGGAAGGUUAAGAGGAGGAGUGAGAGCUCCGAAUUGAAGCCCCGGUAAACGGCGGCCGUAACUAUAACGGUCCUAAGGUAGCGAAAUUCCUUGUCGGGUAAGUUCCGACCCGCACGAAUGGUGUAACGAUCUGGGCACUGUCUCAACUACCCACCCGGCGAAAUUGUAGUACCGGUGAAGAUGCCGGUUACCUGCGGCAAGACGGAAAGACCCCAUGGAGCUUUACUGUAGCCUGAUAUUGGGUUUCGGAAAUCUAUGUACAGGAUAGGCGGGAGACUGGGAAACAUGAGCGUCAGCUUGUGUGGAGUCGAUGUUGGGAUACCGCCCUUAGGUUUCUGGAAUUCUAACCUGCGGCCGUGAAUCCGGUCGGGGGACAUUGUCAGGUGGGCAGUUUGACUGGGGCGGUCGCCUCCGAAAAGGUAACGGAGGCGCUCAAAGGUUAGCUCAGCACGGACGGAAACCGUGCCUCUGAGUGUAAACGCAAAAGCUAGCCUAACUGCGAGGGUGACGGCCCGAGCAGUAACGAAAGUUGGAGUUAGUGAUCCGGCGGUAUGUGAAUGGAAAUGCC